CAUGGAGGGUGAGAAUCCCGUUCAUGGUUAAUCUUAAGGAAGCUCUACGAUACGUUUUCCAAGAGUCGAGUUGUUUGGGAUUGCAGCUCAAAAUGGGAGGUAAAUUUCUCCUAAGGCUAAAUAUUGGCGAGAGACCGAUAGCGAACAAGUACCGUGAGGGAAAGAUGAAAAGAACUUUGAAAAGAGAGUUAAACAGUACGUGAAAUUGUUGAAAGGGAAACGAUUGAAGUCAGUCAUACCAACGGGAAAUCAACCUUUUGAGCUCGGUCUCGUGGGUUUUGAAGAGUUUCAAAGCCUUCGGAUUCGCGGGAUUGGGAUCUCUUGGCGUACUUUCUCGUACGGUUAGUCAACAUCGGUUUUGAAUGUCAUAAAAUGACUGGAGGAAUGUAGCUUCGAUCUCGUAUUGAAGUGUUAUAGCCUUUGGUUGAUGUGAUGUUUGAGACCGAGGAUUGCAACGGAUACCCUUCAGGGCUAUUCGUCUGAUCUCUGAUACGUUGCCUUGAUGUUGAAAGCUUGCUUAUGAUGUUAGGGUAUUACGGUCAAAAGGUUAGAACGAAUUACAUUCGUUAAGGAUGUUGACGUAAUGG
rnacentral:rRNA from 1 species